rnacentral:rRNA from 1 species
UACAGAGGAGCCAAGCGUUGUCCGGAUUGACUGGGCGUAAAGCGCACGCAGGCGGGCGUGCGCGUGGGGGGUGAAAUCUGGCCGCUUAACGGCCAGGCGCCAUCCCAUACGGCACGACUGGAGGGCUGCAGAGGUCGAUGGAAUUGCCGGUGUAGUGGUGAAAUGCGUAGAGAUCGGCAGGAACACCCAGGGGGAAACCAGUCGACUGGGCAGCACCUGACGCUGAGGUGCGAGAGCGUGGGGAGCGAACCGG